AUCUUGUUAUGCUUAGCCAGAAACACACCGCACGCUGAGGUGCCACGAAUAGCCGGGAAGCGGAGCUAUUUUCAUUUCGGCGCCCAUGUUAUCCAAUCCGUC